rnacentral:lncRNA from 1 species
CAGCAGAUCCUAUUUCCCUCAGUGGCUCAGACCUGCGCAGACCUCGACUGACGACACGGACAACUUUGACUUUCAAAGACCAGCGCGCUUGGCCGUACGCGGGGCAGUCGGGGCCUGGAGGGACAGCUUGUGCGGCUCUGGCAUUUUGGCUCCUUGGGCUCAAAGCUGCCCAAUAAUCAGGUGAACCAAGAAGCUGGAUUGCUGACUGGGAAAAUCUGCGCUCCAACUUCCCUCUGUAAAGCAUUUCUGGGCUGCAGAUUGGAAAUGAACUGCUGUUCAUUGUGGCUACCUGGAGGAGAAUUCUUCUGUCCUCUGUGAUUACUUACAGGGGAAAGACUUCUAACCUGACAAACAGGAUUCCUUCUAAAAAAUAAGAUAAAAAUGGAAACACCAUCAUCAAUGCAAAACCCUCUCUGCACCCCAUAAUUGGAAAACACCCUGGAAUUUUCAAACUUCUAAGUGUGAACAAUCAGUCUGUAGAGCCAUAAGCACAGAACCCAACACAAAACCUACCUAACAACAC